GCACAAGCGGUGGAGCAUGUGGUUUAAUUCGACGCAACGCGAAGACCUUACCUGGGCUUGACAUCCCGAUCGUACCUGCUGGAAACAGCGGGGUCAGUUCGGCUGGAUCGGAGACAGGUGCUGCAUGGCUGUCGUCAGCUCGUGUCGUGAGAUGUUGGGUUAAGUCCCGCAACGAGCGCAACCCUUGUCCUUAGUUGCCAUCAUUUAGUUGGGGCACUCUAAGGAGACUGCCGGUGUUAAACCGGAGGAAGGUGGGGAUGACGUCAAGUCCUCAUGGCCCUUAUGUCCAGGGCUACACACGUGCUACAAUGGCCGGUACAAAGGGCAGCAAAGCCGCGAGGUGGAGCCAAUCCCAGAAAGCCGGUCUCAGUUCGGAUUGGAGUCUGCAACUCGACUCCAUGAAGUUGGAAUCGCUAGUAAUCGCGGAUCAGCAUGCCCGCGGUCGAUACGUUCCGGCCUU
rnacentral:rRNA from 1 species